rnacentral:rRNA from 1 species
UUCCGGUUGAUCCUGCCGGACCCGACUGCUAUCAGAGUGAGAUUAAGCCAUGCGAGUUAACGUAGCAAUACGUGGCGCACGGCUCAGUAACACGUAGUCAACAUGCCCAGAGGACGUGGAUAACCUCGGGAAACUGAGUCUAAACCGCGAUAAGUGAGGAUUUCUGGAAUGGUUCCUGACUAAAAUCUAUAUGGCCUCUGGAUUGGACUGCGGCCGAUCAGGCUGUUGGUGAGGUAAUGGCCCACCAAACCUGUAACCGGUACGGGCUCUGAGAGGAGGAGCCCGGAGAUGGGCACAGAGACAAGGGCCCAGGCCCUAUGGGGCGCAGCAGGCGCGAAACCUCUGCAAUAGGCGAAAGCCUGACAGGGUUACUCUGAGUGACUUUCGCUAAGAAAGUCUUUUGGCACCUCUAAAAAGGAUGCAGAAUAAGGGGUGGGCAAGUCUGGUGUCAGCCGCCGCGGUAAUACCAGCACCCCGAGUGGUCGGGACGAUUAUUGGGCCUAAAGCAUCCGUAGCCGGUUCUGCAAGUCCCCCGUUAAAUCCAGCUGCUCAACAGAUGGGCCGCGGAGGAUACUACAGAGCUAGGAGGCAGGAGAGGCAAGCGGUACUCAGGGGGUAGGGGUAAAAUCCGUUGAUCCAUUGAAGACCACCAGUGGCGAAGGCGGCUUGCCAGAAUGCGCUCGACGGUGAGGGAUGAAAGCUGGGGGAGCAAACCGGAUUAGAUACCCGGGUAGUCCCAG